rnacentral:rRNA from 1 species
UACGUAGGGGGCAAGCGUUGUCCGGAAUUAUUGGGCGUAAAGAGCGUGUAGGCGGUCCGGUAAGUCAGCUGUGAAAGUCAAGGGCUCAACCCUUGAAAGCCGGUUGAUACUGUCGGGCUAGAGUCCGGAAGAGGCGAGUGGAAUUCCCGGUGUAGCGGUGAAAUGCGCAGAUAUCGGGAGGAACACCAAUGGCGAAGGCAGCUCGCUAAACCAUAACUGACGCUGAUGCACGAAAGCGUGGGGAGCAAACAGG